GCCUAGUUAGUUAUGUACACCUCUAGCGCUCUAUUUGAACUUAGCCCUCUUGAUAACACCCCUAAUAGACUGGAAGGGGAGGCCACUGGAUCUCCCCGUCUUCUCAGUACAGCCACAUGAAACAAAUCCCUUUUUUCUGCUUUUCACUCUUGUAUCUUUAGUUGGACCAUGGAGGCUGGGUGGCUGAGUCUGGUGAUCAGGGGAGCUUUCUAGGCAUAUGCUCUGACCACCAAGUCCUGUAACACAUUGAUGUGGGAAGCUUGGCCCUUAUUGCUGUGCGCCCUUUCUAUCCCACCAGCCUCUCACAGCCUCCUGCAGCCUCCAGCAGCCAUGUGCAGACCUCAGAGCAACAAACAACUCAGCAAGUUCCCGCAUCCUGAGUGAAAACCCCGAGAGAGAAGCAACUGACUCCAGAUCACACAGCUAGUGAACCCCAGAUUCAUCAAUUUUAUGUGUGUGAGCAUUUUGCCUGCAUGUAAGUCCACCAUGGGCAUCAGAACUACUGGUGCUGGAGUUACACAUGGCUGUGAGCCGCCAUGUGGGUGCUGGGAUUCACACCCAGGUUCUGUGCAAGAACAAGUGCUCGCCACAGCUGAGCCAUCUCUCCAGCACCACCCCCGAGAGUCUAUUCCUUAUUAAAAUGUUCACACCGA